rnacentral:rRNA from 1 species
CCAAUAGCGUAUAUUAAAGUUGUUGCAGUUAAAAAGCUCGUAGUUGAAUUUCGGGAUUGGCGUGUCGGUCGUGCCUUAAGGGGUAUGAACUGGCGUCGUCGAUUUCUCACCUUCUGGAGAAACGCGAUGCCCUUAAUUGGGUGUCGUGCGGAACCAGGACCUUUACCUUGAAAAAAUUAGAGUGUUUAAAGCAGGCAUUUUUUGCUCGAAUACAUUAGCAUGGAAUAAUAAAAUAGGACGGUUGGUUCUAUUUUGUUGGUUUCUAGGAUCACCGUAAUGAUUAAUAGGGAUAGUUGGGGGCAUUAGUAUUCAAUUGUCAGAGGUGAAAUUCUUGGAUUUAUUGAAGACUAACUACUGCGAAAGCAUUUGCCAAGGAUGUUUUCAUUAAUCAAGAACGAAAGUUAGGGGAUCGAAGACGAUCAGAUACCGUCGUAGUCUUAACCAUAAACUAUGCCGACUAGGAAUCAGACGAUGUUAAUUUUUUAAUGACUCAUUCGGCGCCUUACG